AUAUCAAUAAGCGGAGGAAAAGAAACCAACCGGGAUUGCCUCAGUAACGGCGAGUGAAGCGGCAACAGCUCAAAUUUGAAAUCUGGCCCCCCCCGGGGGGUCCGAGUUGUAAUUUGUAGAGGAUGCCUCGGGCAAGGCUGUGGUCUAAUUUGCUUGGAAGAGCAAGUCACAGAGGGUGAGAAUCCCGUCUAGGACCGUAGGCCGCGUCCAUGUGAAGCCCCUUCGACGAGUCGAGUUGUUUGGGAAUGCAGCUCUAAAUGGGUGGUAAAUUUCAUCUAAAGCUAAAUACGGGCCAGAGACCGAUAGCGCACAAGUAGAGUGAUCGAAAGAUGAAAAGCACUUUGAAAAGAGAGUUAAACAGUAUGUGAAAUUGUUGAAAGGGAAGCGCUUGCAACCAGACUUGUGACUGACGGCUCCCCCCACCUUCUGGCGGGGCUACUCCGUCAUGUCCAGGCCAGCAUUGAUUUGGGUGGUCGGUUAAAGGCCCCGGGAAUGUAUCUACCUUCGGGCUGACUUAUAGCCCGGGGUGCAAUGCGGCCCACCCGGAUCAAGGAACGCGCUCCGGCUUGGAUGUUGGCGUAAUGGUUGUAAGCGGCCCGUCUUGAAACACGGACCAAGGAGUCUAACAUCUAUGCGAGUGUUUGGGUGUCAAACCCCUACGCGGAAUGAAAGUGAACGGAGGUAAGAACCCCCCGGGGCGCAUUAUCGACCGAUCCUGAUGUCUUCGGAUGGAUUUGAGUAAGAGCAUAGCUGUUGGGACCCGAAAGAUGGUGAACUAUGCAUGAAUAGGGUGAAGCCAGAGGAAACUCUGGUGGAGGCUCGCAGCGGUUCUGACGUGCAAAUCGAUCGUCAAAUUUGUGCAUAGGGGCGAAAGACUAAUCGAACCAUGGAAACCUACUUCCCGGGAAGAUGCCUACCCGGGCCUCGAGAGAGACAAGGCCGAUCAGGUGGUUCUUCACCAGUCCUCCGGGGCAACAUCGUCCUUCUGCCGGGGAUCAUCACAUCACCCGCAGCAGUUGUGUGGUUCAACUGUUCACAGACUAGGAGACGGUGGCCAUCUUGACCUGCAAGAUGGUGAUGAUAUAGUCGGUCACGGUUAAAGAUGGAAGCCGUGGAUGAACGCUGGUAGCUGGUUCCUGUCGAAGUUUCCCUCAGGAUAGCAGUAACGUGUUCAGUUUUAUGAGGUAAAGCGAAUGAUUAGAGGCCUUGGGGUUGUAACAACCUUAACCUAUUCUCAAACUUUAAAUAUGUAAGAAGUCCUUGUUGCUUAACUGAACGUGGACAUUUGAAUGCACCGUUACUAGUGGGCCAUUUUUGGUAAGCAGAACUGGCGAUGCGGGAUGAACCGAACGUGAGGUUAAGGUGCCGGAAUGUACGCUCAUCAGACACCACAAAAGGUGUCAAUGCAUCCAGACAGCCGGACGGUGGCCAUGGAAGUCGGAAUCCGCUUAGGAGUGUGUAACAACUCACCGGCCGAAUGCAUUGGCCCUGAAAAUGGAUGGCGCUUAAGCGUGCUACCUAUACCUCGCCGUUGGGGUUGAAAUGAUGCCCCAACGAGUAGGCAGGCGUGGGGGUUGGUGACGAAGCCUUGGGGGUGACCCCGGGUCGAACAACCUCUAGUG
rnacentral:rRNA from 1 species